rnacentral:rRNA from 1 species
UACGUAGGGUGCGAGCGUUAAUCGGAAUUACUGGGCGUAAAGCGUGCGCAGGCGGUUUUGUAAGCCAGGUGGGAAAUCCCCGGGCUUAACCUGGGAAUGGCAUUUGGGACUGCAAGGCUUGAGUUUGGCAGAGGAGACUGGAAUUCCUGGUGUAGCAGUGAAAUGCGUAGAUAUCAGGAGGAAUACCGAUGGCGAAGGCAGCUCUCUGGGUCCCUACCGACGCUGGGGUGCGAAAGCAUGGGGAGCGAACGGG